rnacentral:rRNA from 1 species
ACCUAGGAAUCUGCCUGGUAGUGGGGGACAACGUUUCGAAAGGAACGCUAAUACCGCAUACGUCCUACGGGAGAAAGCAGGGGACCUUCGGGCCUUGCGCUAUCAGAUGAGCCUAGGUCGGAUUAGCUUGUUGGUGAGGUAAUGGCUCACCAAGGCGACGAUCCGUAACUGGUCUGAGAGGAUGAUCAGUCACACUGGAACUGAGACACGGUCCAGACUCCUACGGGAGGCAGCAGUGGGGAAUAUUGGACAAUGGGCGAAAGCCUGAUCCAGCCAUGCCGCGUGUGUGAAGAAGGUCUUCGGAUUGUAAAGCACUUUAAGUUGGGAGGAAGGGCAUUAACCUAAUACGUUGGUGUCUUGACGUUACCGACAGAAUAAGCACCGGCUAACUCUGUGCCAGCAGCCGCGGUAAUACAGAGGGUGCAAGCGUUAAUCGGAAUUACUGGGCGUAAAGCGCGCGUAGGUGGUUCGUUAAGUUGGAUGUGAAAUCCCCGGGCUCAACCUGGGAACUGCAUUCAAAACUGACGAGCUAGAGUAUGGUAGAGGGUGGUGGAAUUUCCUGUGUAGCGGUGAAAUGCGUAGAUAUAGGAAGGAAC